rnacentral:rRNA from 1 species
AGCAGCCGCGGUAAUUCCAGCUCCAAUAGCGUAUAUUAAAGUUGUUGCAGUUAAAAAGCUCGUAGUUGAAUUUCGGGAUCAAAUUGUCGGUCGUGCCUCGGUACGUACUGGUAUUAUUGGUUCCUCCCUUCUGACGAACCACGAUGUCAUUAAUUUGGUGUCAUGGGAAAUCAGGACUGUUACUUUGAAAAAUUAGAGUGUUUAAAGCAGGCUCGCGCUUGGAUACAUUAGCAUGGAAUAAUGAAAUAGGACGUUUGAUUCUAUUUUGUUGGUUUCUAGGAUCGACGUAAUGAUUAAUAGGGAUAGUUGGGGGCAUUAGUAUUCAAUUGUCAGAGGUGAAAUUCUUGGAUUUAUUGAAGACUAACUACUGCGAAAGCAUUUGCCAAGGAUGUUUUCAUUAAUCAAGAACGAAAGUUAGGGGAUCGAAGACGAUCAGAUACCGUCGUAGUCUUAACCAUAAACUAUGCCGACUAGGGAUCGGAUGAUGUUAAUUUUUUUAAUGACUCAUUCGGCGCCUUAC